CCUACGGGAGGCAGCAGUGGGGGAUAUUGCACAAUGGGGGAAACCCUGAUGCAGCGACGCCGCGUGUGGGAAGACGGUCCUCUGGAUUGUAAACCACUGUCCCCAGGGACGAAGAUGACGGUACCUGGGGAGGAAGCUCCGGCUAACUACGUGCCAGCAGCCGCGGUAAUACGUAGGGAGCGAGCGUUGUCCGGAAUGACUGGGUGUAAAGGGAGCGUAGGCGGGACUGCAAGUUGGGUGUCAAAUCUACCGGCUCAACCGGUAGCCGCACUCAAAACUGCAGUUCUUGAGUGAAGUAGAGGCAGGCGGAAUUCCUAGUGUAGCGGUGAAAGGCGUAGAUAGUAGGAGGAACACCAGUGGCGAAGGCGGCCUGCUGGGCUUUUACUGACGCUGAGGCUCGAAAGUGUGGGGAGCAAACAGGAUUAGAUACCCUGGUAGUC
rnacentral:rRNA from 1 species